rnacentral:rRNA from 1 species
CCUCUUUUCUCAGGGAAGAAGAAAGUGACGGUACCUGAGGAAGAAGCAUCGGCUAACUCCGUGCCAGCAGCCGCGGUAAUACGGAGGAUGCAAGCGUUAUCCGGAAUGAUUGGGCGUAAAGGGUCCGCAGGUGGUACUGUAAGUCUGCUGUUAAAGAGUUUGGCUUAACCAGAUAAAAGCAGUGGAAACUACAGAACUAGAGUGCGUUCGGGGCAGAAGGAAUUCCUGGUGUAGCGGUGAAAUGCGUAGAUAUCAGGAAGAACACCGG